CCUACGGGUGGCAGCAGUGAGGAAUAUUGGUCAAUGGACGAGAGUCUGAACCAGCCAUGCCGCGUGAAGGAUGACUGCUCUAUGAGUUGUAAACUUCUUUUAUAUGGGAAUAAAUUGCUAUACGUGUGGGAUUUUGUAUGUAUCAUACGAAUAAGGAUCGGCUAACUCCGUGCCAGCAGCCGCGGUAAUACGGAGGAUUCCAGCGUUAACCGGAUUUAUUGGGUUUAAAGGUGGCGUAGGUGGUUCGUUAAGUCAGUUGUGAAAGUUUGCGGCUCAACCGUAGAAUUGCAGUUGAAACGGGCAGUCUAGAGUACAGUAGAGGUAGGCGGAAUGCGUGGUGUAGCGGUGAAAUGCUUAGAGAUCACGAAGAACACCGAUUGCGAAGGCAGUUCACUGGACUGCAACUGACGCUGAGGCUCGAAAGUGUGGGGAGCAAACAGGAUUAGAUACCCGAGUAGUC
rnacentral:rRNA from 1 species